UAGAAACUAAUUCUUCUUUUUGAAGAAAUUAAAGCGCAAGGAGACGAGCUUAAGGAACAAGGAGAAAAAACUAUAAACCUGUUACAGCACCUUGCAAAAACAAAUGACGGAGAGAGUUUAGUAAGAGGAUUACUUUUCCAAUUACCAGCAACAACUGUUGAAGAGUUUAACCUUAUUAACGAUUAAGCUAAAGAAAGCGACAUUAAAGGAAGACUGACAAGAUUUCUUGGAUUGGUUGGCGGGCUCAAUGUAAAGUCAACUACCAGAGCAGUGCUAAGUCGUUUACUGAUCACAGAUGUAGCAAAGUCAUGUAAUUGGAAGGGAAAAGGAAAUAAGAUUGCAUUUAGCAAAAUGUACCUUGUUGGAAUUGUUUGUGAUGCAGUAAGAAGAAUUCCAGCAACAAGUCAAGCAACAGAUAACGAGAUUGGAGUUGUUUGUCAAGACUGGUUUAAACAUGCAAGUGAUCAAGAUGGAGGAAGACAACGUCGUGCCAAUCGUUCAUGUCUACAUUAACUAUUAUAUAAAGCCUUUAUAAUAUAUAUAAAUAAAUCGUUUUUAUUUUUUA